rnacentral:tRNA from 1 species
GGGCCCAUAGCUCAGCCUGCUUAGAGCACCUGACUCUUAAUCAGGGGGUCGUGGGUUGAAAUCCCACUGGGCCCA